rnacentral:rRNA from 1 species
ACAAAGUACCCCGGAGGGAAAGUUGCAAAGCACUUUGAAGAGAGAGUUAAAUAGGACGUGAAACCGAUAAGAUGGAAACGGAUAGAGCCGACGUAUCUAACUUGUAUUCAGCUGUCCAGUAGCGUGGUGCUUGUUGUCUUUUCCCGUAUGGGUGGGACGGCUGGUAUACUUCGUUGCUCGUGGCAGUGCAUUUGCAAGUUGAGUGCGCCGAGGGGUACGCUGUAGCGGUUGGAUCUCUGUUUUGUGGCGCUCCUCUUCGGAAGAGUAACCUUGGCAGGGGGAAGACUGUUUGUGGUGUAUCUUUUGCAUUUGCACGGCUUACGGGUCGGCUGGCUUCUUGCUCACCUGCGGGUUAUGGUCGCAUGCGACUGUGCCUGUGGUGGGGUUGGUCGUUGGUGCGGAUUCACGUGCAUGCUUUCGGUGUAAAAGUUGGUCAUCUAUCCGACCCGUCUUGAAACACGGACCAAGGAGUUUAGCGAAUAUGCGAGUCAUUGAGUGUUGAAAACUCAAAGGCGUAAUGAAAGUAAAGGUAUCCUUAUGGAACUGAUAUGCGAUCGUUGGCACUACGGUGUUGAUGCGCAGCAUAGCCCCAUUCCAAUUGCUUGCAAUGGGGUGGAGGCAGAGCAUAUUUGCUGAGACCCGAAAGAUGGUGAACUAUGCCUGAGCAGGAUGAAGCCAGAGGGAAACUCUGGUGGAAGUCCGAAGCGGUUCUGACGUGCAAAUCGAUCGUCUGACUUGGGUAUA